AACGAACGCUGGCGGCAGGCUUAACACAUGCAAGUCGAACGCUCACUUCGGUGAGAGUGGCAGACGGGUGAGUAACGCGUGGGAAUAUACCUAUCAGUACGGAACAACAGUUGGAAACGACUGCUAAUACCGUAUACGCCCUUCGGGGGAAAGAUUCAUCGCUGAUAGAUUAGCCCGCGUUAGAUUAGCUAGUUGGUGGGGUAAAGGCCUACCAAGGCGACGAUCUAUAGCUGGUCUGAGAGGAUGAUCAGCCACACUGGGACUGAGACACGGCCCAG
rnacentral:rRNA from 1 species